rnacentral:lncRNA from 1 species
GAAGUAGCCCUGUUCAGAAUGGGGCUCAAGGGAAGUGUACUGUUUGAUAGAGGCGCAUGACCUGAAAAGCACUCUCCACUUUGUUUUCCUCUGGUUUUGAAUGCAGUUUAUCCCGUCUUAAAUUUUAUCGAUUAUUUACGUAAAAAAAUACCUAAAGUUGUAUAUGAGGAAAGUUGUUUGAAAUGUUUGGACAAAGAUUACAGGUAACUUGAGAUAUUUUGUAGUCAUGUUGCGCGAGUUGGAACCGGUGUUUUUCUGGAUCAAACGCGCCAAAUAAAUGGACAUUUUGGAUAUAUAACGACGGAAUUAAUCGAACAAAGGACCAUUUGUGAUGUUUAUGGGACAUAUUGGAGUGCCAACAGAAGAAGCUCGUCAAAGUGCAGGUGAGCAGUCUGUCUGGAAUUGAAGAGCGCCUGAUCUAAAGACUGGAUCCCUCUCACUGAGCGCCGUCUCUGACAUAGCAAGGAGAUUUGGAAACUACGGAAGGCUAUAUUCAACCAUUGUGUGAGCAACCAUGCUGCAGCACCAGAGGCUAGAGGGGUUGUGUACAGGAAUCUCCAAAUGUUGAACGAGCACCUCGGAUGAAGGAUGGGGAGGAAAACAGACAGCUUCUUUCGACCACACCUUCGCAAAGGUCUGUGGUUCAUAUUAUGCUUCUGCAGUGGUGGAUGGACUCAUGCAUGCCAACCGAAUUAAAAUCUCCUCCAAUAUCUGACAUUGCACCUGGAGACACUGAACAUCAGAGACCAAUGCAUUACCUUGCCUGGACCAUGGAGAUCAGUCCCAUUCACUCAUACAUCAUGGUGACAGCUCAAAGCAAUCUCUCAGCCACGUCUGGGAAAAUAGGUGAAGAGAGAACCUGGAAAGAACUGCACAAUAAUCAACCACCAACUGAGGAGGAACUGAAGGCAUCCUAAAUGUAUCACAGUGACUUUAACAGAAUGCACUUGCCCUUGAAUAUAAAAUAAAAAUAUGUGUCCCGGGAUACAAUGAAAGAAAA